GUAAUACUCCCUCCGUCCCAAAUUUUUUGUCUUAGCUUUGUUUCAAAAUGGAUGUAUCCAAAUACUAAAACUUGACUAGAUACANNNNUAUCUAAACAAAUCUAAGACAAUAAUUUUGGGAUGGAGGGAAUAUAUG
rfam:Hordeum vulgare subsp. vulgare, WGS project CAJW01000000 data, contig: morex_contig_2098318